rnacentral:tRNA from 1 species
CCCGCACCGUGCGCCGUCACGCCGCCGGCCUCAUGGGACGGCUCGGCGCCACCAGCCGGUUCGAGGCCGGCGUCCGGGCC